AAUACGGAGGGUGCAAACGUUGCUCGGAAUCAUUGGGCGUAAAGCGCACGUAGGUGGCCUGUUAAGUCGGGUGUGAAAUCCCUGGGCUCAACCCAGGAAGUGCACUCGAAACUGGCAGGCUUGAGUACUGAAGAGGGUCGCGGAAUUCCCGGUGUAGAGGUGAAAUUCGUAGAUAUCGGGAGGAACACCAGUGGCGAAGGCGGCGACCUGGGCAGAUACUGACACUGAGGUGCGAAAGCGUGGGGAGCAAACCGGA
rnacentral:rRNA from 1 species